UCCCCGUUACCGAGGCAGUCUGAUUAGAAAAAUCCAACUAAUCAUAAGGGUUGCGCUCGUUAAUGGACUUAACCAAACAUCUCACGACACGAGCUGACGACGGCCAUGCAACACCUGUCACUUGGUCCAAUAAAGUACUUUCUCCUUUCGGAGAAAUUCCAAGGAUGUCAAGCCCUGGUAAGGUUCUUCGCUUAUCAUCGAAUUAAAGAACACGCUCCACCACUUGUGCGGGUCCCCGUCAAUUCCUUUGAGUUUUAAUCUUGCGACCGUACUCCCCAGGCGGGAUGCUUAACGCGUUAGCUUCGCUACUAGAAGGGUCGAUACUCCUAACAGCUAGCAUCCAUCGUUUACGGCGUGGACUA
rnacentral:misc_RNA from 1 species